UAGGGAAUCUUCCUCAAUGGGCGAAAGCCUGAUGGAGCAACGCCGCGUGUGUGAUGAAGGGUUUCGGCUCGUAAAACACUGUUGUAAGAGAAGAAUGACAUUGAGAGUAACUGUUCAAUGUGUGACGGUAUCUUACCAGAAAGGAACGGCUAAAUACGUGCCAC
rnacentral:rRNA from 1 species